rnacentral:rRNA from 1 species
UGGCUCAGGACGAACGCUGGCGGCGUGCUUAACACAUGCAAGUCGAACGGGGAUAUCUGCGGAAGUCCUUCGGGGCGGAAGCGGAUAUUCGAGUGGCGGACGGGUGAGUAACGCGUGAGCAAUCUGUCCCAGACAGGGGGAUAACACUUGGAAACAGGUGCUAAUACCGCAUAAGACCACGGCAUCACAUGGUGCAGGGGUAAAAGGAGCGAUCCGGUUUGGGGUGAGCUCGCGUCCGAUUAGCCAGUUGGCGGGGUAACGGCCCACCAAAGCGACGAUCGGUAGCCGAUCUGAGAGGAUGACCGGCCACAUUGGAACUGAGAGACGGUCCAAACUCCUACGGGAGGCAGCAGUGGGGAAUAUUGGGCAAUGAGCGAAAGCCCUGACCCAGCAACGCCGCGUGAGUGAAGAAGGCCUUCGGGUUGUAAAGCUCUGUUAUGAGGGACGAAGGAAGUGACGGUACCUCAUAAGGAAGCCCCGGCUAACUACGUGCCAGCCGCCGC